rnacentral:rRNA from 1 species
AGAGUUUGAUCCUGGCUCAGAACGAACGCUGGCGGCAGGCUUAACACAUGCAAGUCGAACGCCCCGCAAGGGGAGUGGCAGACGGGUGAGUAACGCGUGGGAACGUGCCCUUCGGUUCGGAAUAACUCAGGGAAACUUGAGCUAAUACCGGAUACGUGCGAGAGCAGAAAGAUUUAUCGCCGAAGGAUCGGCCCGCGUCCGAUUAGCUAGUUGGUGAGGUAAUGGCUCACCAAGGCGACGAUCGGUAGCUGGUCUGAGAGGAUGAUCAGCCACAUUGGGACUGAGACACGGCCCAAACUCCUACGGGAGGCAGCAGUGGGGAAUAUUGGACAAUGGGCGCAAGCCUGAUCCAGCCAUGCCGCGUGAGUGAUGAAGGCCUUAGGGUUGUAAAGCUCUUCCGCCAGGGACGAUAAUGACGGUACCUGGAUAAGAAGCCCCGGCUAACUUCGUGCCAGCAGCCGCGGUAAUACGAAGGGGGCUAGCGUUGUUCGGAUUUACUGGGCGUAAAGCGCACGUAGGCGGAUUUUUAAGUCAGGGGUGAAAUCCCGAGGCUCAACCUCGGAACUGCCCUUGAUACUGGAAGUCUCGAGUCCGGGAGAGGUGAGUGGAACUGCGAGUGUAGAGGUGAAAUUCGUAGAUAUUCGCAAGAACACCAGUGGCGAAGGCGGCUCACUGGCCCGGUACUGACGCUGAGGUGCGAAAGCGUGGGGAGCAAACAGGAUUAGAUACCCUGGUAGUCCACGCCGUAAACGAUGGAUGCUAGCCGUUGGGGAGCUUGCUCUUCAGUGGCGCAGCUACGCUUUAAGCAUCCCGC